GUGCCAGCAGCCGCGGUAAUACGUAGGGGGCAAGCGUUGUCCGGAAUCACUGGGCGUAAAGCGCGCGCAGGCGGCGAUCUGCGUCUGGGGUGAAAGCCCGGAGCUCAACUCCGGGAUUGCCUUGGAUACGGGGUCGCUUGAGGAUCGGAGAGGCAAGGGGAAUUCCACGUGUAGCGGUGAAAUGCGUAGAGAUGUGGAGGAACACCUGUGGCGAAGGCGCCUUGCUGGCCGAUUUCUGACGCUGAGGCGCGAAAGCGUGGGGAGCAAACAGGAUUAGAUACCCUGGUAGUCC
rnacentral:rRNA from 1 species